rnacentral:rRNA from 1 species
CGCGAAGAACCUUACCAGGUCUUGACAUCCUUUGACCAUCCUAGAGAUAGGGCUUUCCCUUCGGGGACAAAGUGACAGGUGGUGCAUGGUUGUCGUCAGCUCGUGUCGUGAGAUGUUGGGUUAAGUCCCGCAACGAGCGCAACCCUUAUUGUUAAUUGCCAUCAUUUAGUUGGGCACUCUAGCGAGACUGCCGCAGACAAUGCGGAGGAAGGUGGGGAUGACGUCAAAUCAUCAUGCCCCUUAUGACCUGGGCUACACACGUGCUACAAUGGAGAGUACAACGAGUUGCGAAGUCGUGAGGCUAAGCUAAUCUCUUAAAGCUCUUCUCAGUUCGGAUUGUAGGCUGCAACUCGCCUACAUGAAGCCGGAAUCGCUAGUAAUCGCGGAUCAGCACGCCGCGGUGAAUACGUUCCCGGGUCUUGUACACACC